rnacentral:rRNA from 1 species
GAUGAACGCUGGCGGCGUGCCUAAUACAUGCAAGUCGAGCGAACAGACGAGGAGCUUGCUCCUCUGACGUUAGCGGCGGACGGGUGAGUAACACGUGGAUAACCUACCUAUUAGACUGGGAUAACUUCGGGAAACCGGAGCUAAUACCGGAUAAUAUAUUGAACCGCAUGGUUCAAUAGUGAAAGACGGUUUUGCUGUCACUUAUAGAUGGAUCCGCGCCGCAUUAGCUAGUUGGUAAGGUAACGGCUUACCAAGGCGACGAUGCGUAGCCGACCUGAGAGGGUGAUCGGCAACACUGGAACUGAGACACGGUCCAGACUCCUACGGGAGGCAGCAGUAGGGAAUCUUCCGCAAUGGGCGAAAGCCUGACGGAGCAACGCCGCGUGAGUGAUGAAGGUCUUCGGAUCGUAAAACUCUGUUAUUAGGGAAGAACAAAUGUGUAAGUAACUAUGCACGUCUUGACGGUACCUAAUCAGAAAGCCACGGCUAACUACGUG